CUGGAGGUCACCUCUUCUAACUGUCUUUGCUCACAUAUAGGUCUGCCUGUGAGGACAGGGCAGACAGAGUCCAACUAGUGGGCAGCAGAAGGGAGAAGUACCCAUCUCUUCCUUCAGCUACCUUUUUCCUCACUUCCUAUGUGAUUUGUAUUGGGAAGUCCUCACUCAGGUCUAACCUUCCAGUUACCAUGCUGUAAUGAAAACUGGCCAGAGUCAGAAGCAUAAAAUCAGAUUUUGGGUAAGUCCCUUUACCUCUCUGGGCCUUGAUUCUUCAUCUUUAAAAUGGGAUUGAGAAUGACAGUGAUGGCAAUAAUACCCAUCUCACAGGGCCUUUGGGAAGAUAAUAGCACAGUCUAGGCCUAGAGUAAAGCAGGUGCUGCAGGAUUAUUUUGUUACAGCCCCUCGGACCUCCAGCCGAAACCUUUUCAUCCUGGGUAAUAUAGGGGUUUGCUCACCUCAGCCAGUCUGGUCUGCCUUGCGCGCUAGACUGUGAACUCCUCUUGGCAGGACUUUGUUCAUUUUUUAUCACAGCCCCCUUCUCCUCCCCAGUGUCUAAUCCGUGCCUGGGCACGUAGGCUCAAUCUACAUUUAAUAAAUAAAGAAGUGAGGGCAUGAGUUGGACCCCAAGGCCCGAGAGGCACAGGGCCUGGCUCCCACCACUGACCCUCUGGGCACGACCCUUCGGCCUGAGAUCCAGGAGGCGGCGGCGGCGGCGGCGGCGAGGAAAGGAGAUGCUGCAGCUUUAAGAUUCCUCUCGGGCGUCCCGGUUGCCAAGGCGCGGUUGCCAAGGACCUGCGCGGAGCUGCGUCCGGACUCCGCGCGCGGUCCCGGGUUUCCUCUGCCGCAGCCACUGCCGCCGCCGCCGCCGCCGCCGCCGCCGCCGCCGCCGGGCCACGCCGGGCUCGGCUCCUCCGAACCGUCUGGCGGACUUGGCACCGGCCCCGGCUCUUCAGUGCCCCCGCGAGCUGUGGCAAUUGUUGUGAACAUGAUCUGGGUCACUCUGGCUACUCAGUGUCUAUCUCUGGGUCUGUUCCUUAUCUAG
rnacentral:lncRNA from 1 species